rnacentral:tRNA from 1 species
AGGGAGGAACUAGAAAAACGCAAGCACUGCUAAUCCUUGCCCCCGUGGUUAAAGUCCACGGCUUCCUUG